GAGUUUGAUCAUGGCUCAGGAUGAACGCUAGCGGCAGGCUUAAUACAUGCAAGUCGAGGGGCAGCGGGGGUAGCAAUACCUGCCGGCGACCGGCAAACGGGUGCGGAACACGUACACAACCUUCCUUAAAGUGGGGGAUAGCCCAGAGAAAUUUGGAUUAAUACCCCGUAAUAUUAUUGAGUGGCAUCAUUUAAUAAUUAAAGCUCCGGCGCUUAGAGAUGGGUGUGCGGCUGAUUAGGUAGUUGGUGAGGGUAACGGCCCACCAAGCCAACGAUCAGUAACUGGUGUGAGAGCACGACCAGUCACACGGGCACUGAGACACGGGCCCGACUCCUACGGGAGGCAGCAGUAAGGAAUAUUGGUCAAUGGACGCAAGUCUGAACCAGCCAUGCCGCGUGGAGGAUGAAGGUCCUCUGGAUUGUAAACUUCUUUUAUCUGGGAAGAAAUGCCAGAAUUCUUUUUGGUUUGACGGUACCAGAUGAAUAAGCACCGGCUAACUCCGUGCCAGCAGCCGCCGUAAG
rnacentral:rRNA from 1 species